rnacentral:rRNA from 1 species
GACGAACGCUGGCGGCGUGCUUAACACAUGCAAGUCGAACGGAAAGGCCCUGCUUUUGUGGGGUGCUCGAGUGGCGAACGGGUGAGUAACACGUGAGUAACCUGCCCUUGACUUUGGGAUAACUUCAGGAAACUGGGGCUAAUACCGGAUAGGAGCUCCUGCUGCAUGGUGGGGGUUGGAAAGUUUCGGCGGUUGGGGAUGGACUCGCGGCUUAUCAGCUUGUUGGUGGGGUAGUGGCUUACCAAGGCUUUGACGGGUAGCCGGCCUGAGAGGGUGACCGGCCACAUUGGGACUGAGAUACGGCCCAGACUCCAACGGGAGGCAACGGUGGGGAAUAUUGCACAAUGGGCGGAAGCCUGAUGCAGCGACGCCGCGUGCGGGAUGACGGCCUUCGGGUUGUAAACCGCUUUCGCCUGUGACGAAGCGUGAGUGACGGUAAUGGGUAAAGAAGCACCGGCUAACUACGUG